AUAAGAUUGAGAGGGAAAAUGAGAGGGAACGAGGAAUAAUAAAAGUGAAAACAAAAACUAAAAAUAGAAAUCUAUUUGAAAUUGUUUUCACUUUUAAGUUUUUGUUUUCACUUUUGUUACUCAUCCCUCUCAUCUCUCUCUCUCAAUCU
rnacentral:miRNA from 1 species